CCCCACAAGGUUAAUUCCGGCCGCGUCCACAGCACUCAGCUAGCAGAAAAUUACGUGUCUCCAGUCGUCGCGAUUAACAUAUGGAAGAUCUCUGUAAACUGAGUACAGUAAGUGGCGUCAGUGAGGUGACAACGCGCAGCCGCCUGCUUCAUUGGACUCAACGGUAUGGCUGCUGGCUGCUUUGUAUCCCCCAGUAGUUGAACUUAUAGGCCGUAAUUUUACAGUAAACUAGCAUUAUUUUUCUCUUAUUUUUUUUUGAACUAAAACGGAGGGGAGAGAUUCUCUUAUAAUAAAUUAGUAUUAGCAUUCGUCGUUUUUAUAGUCAGCCAAACAGAGCCUAAUAUUUUUAGACGUUUCUUAGGUGCAACAGUAAAAGUUCAACCAUCUGAACAUACCUAUUCUCUCCUUGUGCACAUCUCGGGAGGCAGAGUGAACAACUCCUCUUCCUGUCUCUUGGUCCUCUCUUUGUCACAUAUACCUCCCAAAUUCUCUGCUUUCAUUGCCCACAGUUUUCUUCUACUGUAAAUUCAAGAAAGAUUAUUUUAACAUGAAAAUCAACAAAAGUUAAGCUUACUCUGUAUCUCUAAGAUAGCCUGCUAAUAAAUUCAGAGCAAAAGUUAAGCAAACCUCUUCAAGUCUGUCCGCAGCAUCAUCAAUUAUUUAUUUAAUAUACUCUCUCCGUGCAACAAUUUUUUGCACUUCUAGGAGUGGGCACA
rnacentral:lncRNA from 1 species